rnacentral:rRNA from 1 species
GUCUUUGGCCAUACCACCCUGAACACGCCCAUCUCGUCUGAUCUCGGAAGCUAAGCAUGGUUGGGCCUGGUUAGUACUUGGAUGGGAAUAUGUGGGAAAAACUCUUCUAGACAUU